CCGGAUGUAGUGGGUGUAAAGUGUACGGAGGCGGUCUGGUAAGUCAGUGGUGAAAGCUUGCGGCUCAACCGUAAAAGUGCCAUUGAUACUGCCGGACUUGAGUGUUGGAGGGGUAGCCGGAAUUCCACAAGUAGCGGUGAAAUGCUUAGAUAUGUGGAGGAACGCCGACGGUGAAGACAGGCUACUGGCCGACAACUGACGCUGAGGUACGAAAGCGUGGGGAUCAAAC
rnacentral:rRNA from 1 species